GAUGAACGCUGGCGGCGUGCUUAACACAUGCAAGUCGAACGGGAUCCAAGGGGUGCUUGCACUUUUUGGUGAGAGUGGCGAACGGGUGAGUAACACGUGAGUAACCUGUCCUUUUCUUUGGGAUAAGCAUUCGAAAGGGUGUUUAAUACCUUAUGUUCUGUCUGCCUCGCAUGGGGUGGGUGGGAAAGGCUUUGGCCGGAUUUGGUGGGCUCGCGGUCUAUCAGCUUGUUGGUGGGGUGAUGGCUUACCAAGGCUUUGACGGGUAGCCGGCCUGAGAGGGUGGUCGGUCACAUUGGGACUGAGAUACGGCCCAGACUCCUGCGGGAGGCAGCAGUGGGGGAUAUUGCACAAUGGGCGAAAGCCUGAUGCAGCGACGCCGCGUGGGGGAUGAAGGCCUUCGGGUUGUAAACUUCUUUUGCUCUGAACAAGGCAUGCCAGUGGGUGUGUUGAGUGUAGGGGUUGAUUAGCGCCGGCUAACUACGUG
rnacentral:rRNA from 1 species